rnacentral:rRNA from 1 species
GUGGGGAAUUUUGGACAAUGGGCGCAAGCCUGAUCCAGCAAUGCCGCGUGCAGGAAGAAGGCCUUCGGGUUGUAAACUGCUUUUGUACGGAACGAAACGGUCCUGGCUAAUACCUGGGGCUAAUGACGGUACCGUAAGAAUAAGCACCGGCUAACUACGUGCCAGCAGCCGCGGUAAUACGUAGGGUGCGAGCGUUAAUCGGAAUUACUGGGCGUAAAGCGUGCGCAGGCGGUGCUGUAAGACAGGCGUGAAAUCCCCGGGCUCAACCUGGGAAUGGCGCUUGUGACUGCAAAGCUGGAGUGCGGCAGAGGGGGAUGGAAUUCCGCGUGUAGCAGUGAAAUGCGUAGAUAUGCGGAGGAACACCGAUGGCGAAGGCAAUCCCCUGGGCCUGCACUGACGCUCAUGCACGAAAGCGUGGGGAGCAAACAGGAUUAGAUACCCCUGUAGUCC